rnacentral:rRNA from 1 species
CCUACGGGUGGCAGCAGUGGGGAAUAUUGGGCAAUGGGCGCAAGCCUGACCCAGCAACGCCGCGUGAAGGAAGAAGGCUUUCGGGUUGUAAACUUCUUUUGUCAGGGAAGAGUAGAAGACGGUACCUGACGAAUAAGCCACGGCUAACUACGUGCCAGCAGCCGCGGUAAUACGUAGGUGGCAAGCGUUGUCCGGAUUUACUGGGUGUAAAGGGCGUGUAGCCGGGUUGACAAGUCAGAUGUGAAAUCCUGCGGCUUAACCGCAGAACUGCAUUUGAAACUGUAGUUCUUGAGUACUGGAGAGGCAGACGGAAUUCCUAGUGUAGCGGUGAAAUGCGUAGAUAUUAGGAGGAACACCAGUGGCGAAGGCGGUCUGCUGGACAGCAACUGACGCUGAGGCGCGAAAGCGUGGGGAGCAAACAGGAUUAGAUACCCCAGUAGUC